rfam:Limnoraphis robusta CS-951 contig301, whole genome shotgun sequence.
GAGUCUGAAGUCAAAGUGGUCGAGAUGCUGGUUUGUGACACCAGUAAUAAUGGGUUCAAGUCCCAUCAGACUCC